AGUGGCGACCGGGUGAGUAACACGUGACUAACCUACCUUCGAGUGGGGGAUAACCUCGGGAAACCGGGGCUAAUACCGCAUAACAUCUUUGAAGUGGAAAUUUCGGAGAUCAAAGGAGCAAUUCGCUGGAAGAGGGGGUCGCGGCUGAUUAGCUAGUUGGCGGGGUAACGGCCCACCAAGGCUUAGAUCGGUAGCCGGCCUGAGAGGGCGCACGGCCACACUGGAACUGAAACACGGUCCAGACUCCUACGGGAGGCAGCAGUGGGGAAUUUUGCGCAAUGGGGGAAACCCUGACGCAGCAACGCCGCGUGGAGGAUGAAGUCCCUUGGGACGUAAACUCCUUUCGACCCGGACGAUAAUGACGGUACGGGUGGAAGAAGCCCCGGCUAACUUCGUGCCAGCAGCCGCGGUAAUACGAGGGGGGCAAGCGUUGUUCGGAAUUAUUGGGCGUAAAGGGCGCGUAGGCGGUGCGGUAAGUCACCUGUGAAACCUCUAGGCUCAACCUAGAGCCUGCAGGCGAAACUGCCGUGCUUGAGGGUGGGAGAGGUGCGUGGAAUUCCCGGUGUAGCGGUGAAAUGCGUAGAUAU
rnacentral:rRNA from 1 species